GCACUCUCUGCUGUAUGGUUGGUGCUUAAAACAACACAAUUAAGAAAUAGCAAAAUGUGGCCAUCAUACUUUAAAAAACUAACUCUAUACACUCUUUAUAAAUGCACACACACUUUUAUAUCAUGCAGCAAGUCAUAACAUUUACCCAGAACUCCCUGGUGGACUAUAUUGUUGAUGCAGUGUGUUGUGAAGUUCACACAUGCAUCACUACUUUGCACUUACACAACGGUUGCUCAGCUAAAGCUGUUGUGUGAUGAAUAGGCUCAGCGCUCGAAGAGUAAAUAUGCUCUUGUUGCAGAGUGAUGCAUAAAGGAUCACCUCUGGAUCGUCAACGCUGAAAUAUCAACAUUACGUCAGCACUGCACCUAAUGAAGUGUGGGAUCUCCAGGUUAUUACUGUGGGUGCAAAAGUUUAAAGAUCAUGAACCAGAGCAGAGAUGACAAAUAAGGAUGUCACUGUGGCUAAAAACCAAAAAAAAAAACUAACUAAAAGUGGAAGACAAAAGGGUAACUCUUGAAGAACUCUCAAACUGCUUGCUUGCUUAAAAAUUAGAUGGGGACCAGGGUGCAUCAUUAAAAUGGUCUGUACAACUUCUGUUCUACAUCAUCUUCUCAAGCCACAGAUCAAAACUCAUUACUCAUCGAAAAAACAUACUUUUCUUAUGACUAAGAGUGCAACUUGAACAUAUUACUACUAAUAUCUCCUAUUUUGUUCUAUGACAGAAAGUAAGUUAUAUGGGCUUUGACACAAUGGAACGUAAAAUAUGUCAGAAUUUUCAUUGUUAGGUGAACUACACCUUUUUAAAAAAUGUUAUGAAUGGACAGUCUAACAAACAACUCUUGAAAGGAUGGAACAAUUAUUGAAAAAACAAAAAGGUAUUUUUCACAGCUUUAAAGGAAUGUUGAAGAACAUUUUCAGUUAUUUUGGAACCUUACACUCUAAAAAACGCUGGGUUGUUUUUUCAACCCAACUGCUGGGUUGAGGCCGUUGGAUAGGACUUUGGGAUGUUUUAACCCAAGUUUGGGUUGAAAAUAACUUUCUUUUUUAACCCAGCGGGGUGGGUUGAGGACGCGGACGUGAAGGAGAGCACGCACGUCACGUCAAAAUCGUACGUCUCCAGUGCGAGCAGCCGCCAUUUUCUCAGCGUGAUAGAAGCGAGAAGCGAGUGAAAAACUAUGACUUGUCCAGCUCCUGUCUUCAUUGUCCUCGCGCUGAGAGUUAAAGACACAGAAGCUGUUUGUGUGAGGAGUCUCAGACCUGUGUGAGGAUGAGGAGGAGGUGUUCUUCUGAAGAGAGGGACAGACGGUUUAAGGAGAGUAAACUUCAGAAUAACAUCAAGUUAUCUUUAUUUUUACUAAGACUAAAAUAAUGUGUGUGUUUUUUUUUAGAUGUUGAAAUCCAGAGACAAGAUAACUUCAUUCUUUUGAGACUGAUAACUCAAACUAACUGGAGUUAAGGACACACAAGUAUGCUUGUGUGAGGAGGUGGUUUUCUCAGCUUCUUCUGAAGAGAGGGAAAGAUCGUUUAAGG